rnacentral:rRNA from 1 species
GAUUUAUCUAAUAUAUGGCGUGUUAACGUUGUAGAGUUAUACGAUUAAUAUUAGGUGGUAAUGAAAUGUUUAUCGAUUUUCACGAUAGCUAGUUUAUUGAUUAGGGAUAUUUAAGUAUCGUAUUAUUAAAAUAAUUUUGUUUAUUUAAUAUUAUUUGUAUCAUAAGGGAUAAGCUUUAUGUUAAUUAUAGAAUAAAUUGUAUUUAAUUAUAAUUAAAGUAGAGUUAAUAAUGCUUUUCUUUAUAAGUAGUUUAGAUACCUAAUUUAAAUUAUUUCAAGUAUAUAGUCAUAAAUGUUUAUAAAUUAGUUUUAAGUAAAUAUAAUGUUAACAUGAGUAUUGGUUAAAUUAUAAAUUUAAUUGUUUUAAUUGUAAAUAAGUGUUGUUUUUUAUUAAAAUGAAGUAAGAUAAAGGAAUUCGGCAAAUGUUAAUCUCGCCUGUUUAUCAAAAACAUGUCUCUUUGUGUGUUAUAAAUAAAGAG